UUCUUUAUAUAGAGUCAGUAGCAACAUAUUGCCCACAUGUGUACUGAGCUAGCCAACCAGGGCCAGGGGAGAAUCCUGGCCACAGGAACCUUCAUCUUAUCCACAGCCUGUCUCACAUUUUGGACUGUGGUCUUCAAACUUUAGUGUGGGUCAGAAUCUUUUGGAGGGCUGGUUAAAAAGAAAUUGUUGAGUCCCACCUGCACAGUUUUCUGAUUUAGUAGAUCUGGAGCACAGUGAAAAAUCUGCAUUUCUACUAAGUUGCCAGGUGAAGCAGAUGCUACUCAUUGAGAGACCACUCUUUGGGAAGCACCUGUUCAAGAUCUAGGCCAAUACUCACUUUAAUAUGCAAAUGACCUGAGGAUCUUGUUAAAGGGCCCACCUGGGCCCAGGCUGGGAGAUGUUGAUGAGGCCAGGGCACUGCUGGUCCACAAACCACACUCAGAGGAUGGUUCAUCUUGCCUACUUGUCUGGAAAUGGAAUGGCAAGGAGACUUCAGAGACUGCAGGUAGGAACCAAUGUUUUCUCUCUUCCUCUUAUGUCUAAAAUCAGAUACUUGUGCUUCAAUUUCUGAAAAUCAGAUAUAUAGAAAAAUAUGGUCUACUCUGGGAAUUUUACAAGUUCCUUCCAUCCUUUUUUUGUUUCCAGGAUUUCUAUGGCACUCCUGGAAAGAAGAGCAAAUAGGACAGGUCCCACAUGGCUAUGGCUGUUGCCUCAGUGGGGCUCCUAAACACUAGCAGUGGGUGUGCAGCCCUGCAAGGGAAGGACUCAACAAGCAAUCUUAAGGAUCAGGAGGUCUCCUAGGAAACGAUCACCACCUCCAUGUGACAUCACAGGAACUUAAUGCAAACAAAUCUCCAGAGAAACCU